GGUUAAUAUAAUUUUAGACAGAUGAAGAAUAACUGAAUUAGCACAACAGCUGUGAAGCUUAAAUUACAACAAACUAUUUUCAACAAGUCUCAAAAUAUUUCUUUCAAUUUCUUUCUGCCUUUUAGUCAUCUUCAUCAGCAACACAAGCUCCACAGCAGAAACAACAGUAGCAGCAAGAAAGGAUCAUGAGGAAUUCUCUACAAAACAGCUCAAAUUUUUCUCUAGUACCGUUAUUAGAACUGGUGGUUGGCUCAUCCAAAAGCUUCUGAUCGUUAUCACGUUGCUUCUGACUGUUCAUUCUAUGGAGAUUCCAUUCAAGAUUCUUCAAGUAACCCAAUUUGAAAGAAUCCCUUAAUCUCAUAGAUGGCCAUAGAUGCAUCUCUCUCUCUUUCGAUU
rnacentral:misc_RNA from 1 species